rnacentral:ncRNA from 1 species
CGGCCUGAGGUCGGACGAGGCUACCCGCUGAAUUUAAGCAUAUUACUAAGCGGAGGAAAAGAAACUAACGAGGAUUCCCUCAGUAACGGCGAGUGAAGCGGGACGAGCCCAGCGCCGAAUCCGGCCGCUUAUGGAGCGGACGGAAUUGUGGCGUAUGGAAUUCGCUUCGAGCGCGGACCGGCUGCCCACGUCCUUCUGAUCGAGGCUUCAUCCCAUAGCGGGUGUCAGGCCCUUGGCGGCGGCUGGCCCGGGCUCUCGGUGUCUUCCCGGAGUCGGGUUGUUUGGGAAUGCAGCCCCACAGCGGGUGGUAAACUCCAUCUAAGGCUAAAUACGGUCACGAGACCGAUAGCGAACAAGUACCGUGAGGGAAAGUUGAAAAGCACUUUGGAGAGAGAGUUAAAAAGUACGUGAAACCGUCGAGAGGCAAACGGGAGGGCCUGUCGGGUCGUUCGGUCGCUUUCAGGCGGGCCGGAGACCGGGUCGCGGGAUCGGGGACUUUCGCGGGCCUCGACUCGCGUCGCCGGCCGACGGCUCGGCGCACUAGCGUCGGACGAGGGCCGCGACCGGCUGGGCGGCGGGCAAACGGCUCCGGGCAAGGUAACCCCGCUUCGGCGGGGUGCUACAGGCCCGGUGCGCGCAAGGGUCGCCGCCCGGUCGAGGAGAGAUGCGCGCCGCACCUGCCCCGUUCGCGGGGCCGGGGAAGCCGUUCGAGCAGCGUCGUGUCGCGGUCCGGGACUGUCCUCAGUCCCGGGUCGUCUCGGCGCGGUUCCGAGCGGUCGCUCCCUCGCGAGGUGCCGCGGGUCAGCGGCUGACGCCAGCCACCUUCCCGACCCGUCUUGAAACACGGACCAAGGAGUCUAACAUGUGCGCGAGCCGCGGGGCAGUACGAAACCCGUAAGGCGAA